rnacentral:rRNA from 1 species
CCCUUAGAUGUUCUGGGCCGCACGCGCGCUACACUGAUUCAUGCAACAAGUUUUGUCCUUGGCUGAUAGGCCUGGGUAAUCUUUGAACGGGAAUCGUGAUGGGGAUAGAUGAUUGCAAUUAUUCAUCUUCAACGAGGAAUUCCUAGUAAACGCAAGUCAUCAGCUUGCAUUGAUUACGUCCCUGCCCUUUGUACACACCGCCCGUCGCACCUACCGAUUGAAUGGUCCGGUGAAAUCUUCGGAUCUGAGAGAUGUCUGAUUAAUUUCGGACGCCUUUUGGAAAAGUUGUUUAAACCUUACCAUUUAGAGGAAGGUGAAGUCGUAACA